rnacentral:rRNA from 1 species
AUGCUACACUUGACCACGGCAUGGGCCACCGCAUAUCUUGGUUACGCUCUGGCCUCGCACCGCUUGCGCAUGGGCACCGAGCGGGCCAUCAUCGACGGCGAGCUGCCCCAGCCGUGCCACCACAGCAAGGACAGGGCGUACAGGAUCUCCAACACGAUUCCUGUCGCGGCGUUCAUCGUGACGGUGAUCUGGACCGCUUCCAUGACGGCCAUCAUUUUUACAAACGACAUCACCGAUGAGUUUGAUAUUGUCUUUCUCCUCUCAUACGUCGGUUGGAUACAUGUUGCCGUCUGGUUACUAUAUGUUGCAGAUGUACCCAUGCGUAAAGUGCUGAUGAAAGAGCCAAUGGUGUCUCUACUUGCCUCCCUCCUCCCAUGCCUGAUGAUUUCUCCGGUGAUCAGCGUUGUAUGCCGUAUUCUGUCAAUCUUGUUCCAGUGUGAACAGGACUCUAUUUAUAUGCAUCAACAACAUCUGCAACUCACAUGCAUGGUACUCGGUAAACAUGAUAAGUCAUGUCAAGAGAAGUUGAACAGCAUGGAGCAUAUGGGCGACCUUGAUGAGAAUCCAAAGAAGAUGACUGCGACAUCGGGGCGAGCGCCUAUUUCAAGAGGGGGCGGCGUGGAGAGUGAAGAAAAGAAGCACACUUUGGGCACGAAGAACAUCAAGGAUCGAGUCUUCUCAUCUGAGCACCGCCAGCACCAAAAGUUGAGGCCAGUCUGUCCCGGACCAGGUGUGGACUACUCUAACUCUCCCCAUCACAAUAAUGUCAACCGCAGGAUGGAUGCCAUGAGCCCGCGGUGA